rnacentral:rRNA from 1 species
UACGAAGGGGGCUAGCGUUGUUCGGAUUUACUGGGCGUAAAGCGCACGUAGGCGGAUCGUUAAGUCGGGGGUGAAAUCCUGGAGCUCAACUCCAGAACUGCCUUCGAUACUGGCGAUCUCGAGUCCGGAAGAGGUGAGUGGAACUCCUAGUGUAGAGGUGGAAUUCGUAGAUAUUAGGAAGAACACCAGUGGCGAAGGCGGCUCACUGGUCCGGUACUGACGCUGAGGUGCGAAAGCGUGGGGAGCGAACAGG